CAAGAUAAUAGCAUAUUCUCAAAUUUAAGGGGUUGGGGAUGACCCCUAGAGAUUCCCCCUUUAUUUCACGUGAUUUGUUUUAUUGUCACUUGAUCAUUUCUGAAGACUGUGUGUGUUUAUCACUUUAAGUUUUAAAGUUAUAUUCAUUUGAAAAUUUUCUAAAAUAAAAUCCCAUAGGGUUCUAUAGUAAACCCCUCCCUUCUUUUAGCCCCCCAAAAUAUCCCUUAAUAGACCCCAAUGCACAAACGAACGAUUGAUGGCUCACCUAGACAUGUUAGUCUAACAUUUUAUGAAAUCCUAAGUAAAUCUGACAAGUGGUUUUGGAGAAACGCUGCGGACAAGUUCAUUUUUUUAAAGUGGCGGAAAAAGAAAAAGAAAAAGAAGAAUAACUAGAUUUGUAAUUGCUAGCAAUAACGGAUGGCACCCUCGUCCCCCUAUUGCCAGGCGAGCGGCAGCCAUUUUGAAAAUUUCAAAGUCAAAGAACGCUUUCAGACAUGUUUAUCAACAUUGUUGUAAAAUUUCAUCUCGUUUGGAGCAUUUUGAAAUUUUUGAAAUUUUUGCUGUUUCCAUGGUAACAGUUACUAUUUCCAAAAUUCCAAAGACAGGUGCCACUUUGGGACAUGCCACGUAAUAUAUCAAUAAAGUUUUAAUAGAUUUAAUCUUAUAUUCCUUUAGAAAAUACAGCUUUAAUGUAUUUUCCCAUUGGGCCAAUGUUAAACUUUCGCCUUGUUUCUAUGACAAUGGCGGCCAUUUUGGAAUUUCUAAAUAUUGUCAGUAUAUCAGGGCAUACCAAGGAACAUUUCCAUAAAGUUUCAUCUAGUUGGGUCUUACAAUGAAAGAGUUGGAAUUUUGAUUUUUUUUUUACAUUUUUACCGUUUCCAUGGAAACGGGGGCCAUCUUGGACCAUUCCAUAGCAAGAUGCACAACUUCACAUGGGGGUCCUUAUUAUAGUAGAGUUCCAUCAUCAUUGACCCAUUAGAUUCUGAGAACUAGCGUGGACAAAAAGUGUGGAAGAAGAUUAAUAAAAAUAAUAAGAAAAAAAAGAAACGUAGAAUAACAAUACGUCACCCCAACUCCGUUGAGGGUGCCAUAACUAGAUUUGCCAUUGCAAGCAAUAGCGGAUGGCACCCUUCCCCCAUUGCCAGGCGAGCGGCAGCCAUUUAGAAAAUUGUAAAGUCAAAGAAUGCAUCUACACAUGCAAAUGAUCAUUUUUGUAAAGUUUCGUUAAGUUUGGAGCAUUUUGACAUUUUUGAAAUUUUUGCUGUUUCCAUGGUUACGGCGGCCAUUUUGAAAAUUCCAACUUCAAAAAUCAACUCUGCUUAUGCGAGUGACCAUUUCUGUAAAGUUUCAUCCAGUUUGCAGCAUUUUCAUUUUUUUGAAAUUUUUUGCAUUGUUUCCAUGGUAACAAAAGCCAUUUUGGAAAUUCCAACUCCAAAAGCUUCAUCUUUCCAAUGUUGCUCAUCGUUACUGUGAAGUUUUCAUUAAGUUUGGAACAUUUUGAUAUUUUUUGAAAUUUUUUGGAGUAGUUUCCAUGGCAACAUAGUAGUUCCAAUGAGUGCCAAAAUCAUCCAACACCUGUAUAUAGUGGGCACCUACAUUGUAUUAAAAUAUAAUGAUUCUGAGUUAAAUAGUAUCCAAACUGUUCACCAAAACAAAAAAACUGGAUUUUUUCACAUUUGUUCCGUUUCCAUGGUAACGGCAGCCAUCUUGAAAGUGCCAACCCCAAAAAGCAAAUCUUCAUUUGGUGGUUAACAUUAUGGUAUAGUUCCAUCUUCUUGGGUCCAUUCACAUUAGAGUUCCAGACUGGACAAAAUGUGUGGAAGAAAAAUAAUAAAAAUAAAAAAAACAAAAAGAAACGUAGAAUAACAAUAUGUCACCCCAACUCCGUUGAGGGUGCCAUAAUAAAAAAUCC
rnacentral:lncRNA from 1 species